AAGAAAAGCUGUCUGGCUCACUUUUACCAACUCUUCCUUAUGGGGUACAGGAAACACAUCCUUAUUCCUAACCCCCAGAGAAAUAGAGCAGAUGUGCUGACAGCAGUCAGCCAUUCUCCACAAAUAGCUCCAGCUCCCAACUCUACAAGGGGACAAGAAAAAGUGGAUUUCUGUUAUGAUUUUAGUGCUAACGCACAAUGUGUUGCAUGAAAACUGGACCUGCAGCUGAGGAGGCUGUGCUACUGUAUGCACAUAAGCUGUAUACAUGUAAGCAUCUGGCAAAAGCCCCAGGCUACUUGUCUUUGCCAUCCUGAAUCCAGCCUAUUUCUAUAAUUUGUAUUGCAGAGUGACAAUGGGGUUUGGCCAAAUGGGGCGGAAAGGUACCAACUCCUAGUCAGAGACCACUACGGCCACAUACGCAUCUUCAGUCACCUAACAAACAAUGUUCAGUAACUUAUUGCCAGAAAAGCCCUGUAAUUUACAAGCAUACGAUACUGAAUUUAUGUGCCCUGUGGGCUGCAGGGACAAGUGAAAGUCCUGUAGGAACACAGCCAAACCAUAAAGCCAUGGCACGGUCAACAAAAAUCCCCUCCAGAGGGGACAUAAAGGAAAAAACAACUCUUAGGUGAAUCAAGCCCAGCUAAACCUGAGGAGCAGGUCCCUAGAUAUGCCCCUAAUCUGCUCACACUGAUUUGAAGCAUGGGCUCUCUGAUGAAAAGCUGUUUCCCAUCUUGCAAACAAUGAGUCACUGCUCAUGUUAAUAUUCAGGAUUUGUGUGGAGUCUCUGAAAUGUCAUCCAGGUUUAUUUGCAUGUUCCUCUUGACCAGUCUAAAUGAGUGUGCCAGAAGCUGAGCAGUGGAGAUGAUGGAUCAGUCCCGAUGCAUGGUUUUGGUGCUCUGUGUUUGAUGGAUUUUAUAGGUAACCUUCACAGAUCUUGUGUAUGAACUUAUAACCAACAGUCCCUAGUGUCUAAGCACCCCUUACUAGAUUUAGUCUCGAGGAAAGCAUCUGACAUGAAUUCUUUGUGACCAUCAAUGGCCCAAGGGCUCAGUUAAAAAAAAAAGAAAAUUGAAAAUUCAGAUGACUAGAUUUUCACAGUGUUUUACAUCAUGUGGAACAGCACAGCCAAGCAGACUGCAGGGGCAGCAUGUUGCUGAAAGCAUGUGAGGACAUACUGAAAGGUUGGCUGAAGAGAUUUGCUUCAAUGUCCUGUACUACACAGACAGCAUUGAAAUGUGAGUGUAUGCAUCCAUCUUUUUCCUUUUCCCUGUGCUGGGUCUGGGUGCAAUGACAGCAAUGCAGUUUGAUUGCUUUCAAAGGCCAGGAAAAUUGCUGUGGGGCAAUUGACUUAUACCUGCCUUUUUUUUUUUUUUUUUCUGACAGGUCCCUCAGAAAUUGGCUGGAAAUUGAAGACUGCCAAGCUGCGUGUGGAAGAGCUACGUGAGCUAUUCAGAAAAACAAGUAGGGAUUUAAAACUAGCACUGAAAGCACUAACUGUUGUAAUUUUCAGCCAUGUGCUGGGCAUGAAAUUCAAAAUGAAUUAUCUUUUUAUCACAUGA